UUCAUAAAUAUUGAAGUUAACUUUUAAGUGAAAAGGCUUAAAUACUUUGGGGGGACGAUAAGACCCUAUAAAUCUUAACAUUUCUACUAUUAAAUGUACUUAGAGUGUAGUUGAUGUAUGUUUAUUGGGGUAGUGUUUUACUGGGGCGGUAUAAAUAAAAUUAGUAACUGUUUAUAUUAAUUACAGUAAUAUCUGAACAUUUGUAGAUCCUUAAUUAAAGAUCAAAAGGUUAAGUUACUUUAGGGAUAACAGCGUUAUUUCUUUUAAGAGUUCAUAUCUAAAAAGAAGUUUGCGACCUCGAU
rnacentral:rRNA from 1 species